CGCAACUUGAAAUUGCUUGUUCCUUUCUUUGACUCUCCAUCUAUUGGAUUGGAAAACAUUGAGAAGGAUAUCUCCUCUGAAACAAAAUUUGUGGUGGCAAAGUGGAAAUUAAGGACCUACCUGAAGCUUCCAUGGAGGCCUCUUAUUAGCAUCAACGGAAGUACGGUCUAUGAAUUAGACGGC